rnacentral:misc_RNA from 1 species
AAAAAAAAAAAGAAAAGAAAAAUAGUUAGAGAAAAGAACAUUCUGGCAAGAAGAUGGACACCCUUUUGUUAGCUGUAUAGUCAUGGAACAUUCUGAUUGCUGCUUGUUUCCAGAUAUGGAUAUCUACAGUCUUAGGCCCUUUUCUGUCACUGCUAUCUUAUGUUUUAUCCGCGUUUUGUCCCUCAUUUGGGUUCCUGAAUUUUCAUGGCAGUUGACAUCUGUUUUUCCAGAUUUUAUAGCAUAACCUUGGACAAUUGAAUUGUAAAGUCAAUCCCUUACUAUUUUUGGUUGAUGACACAUACCAACACAGAUGGCUUCAGAAGUAGCAUAGUUCAAAAUGUGUUCUCUGACUUUGAGAAGAAACUGUACCAUGAUUCUGUUCAUUUUGAUGAAACAGGCAAAAAAUUUUCAUGGUGGGUGGGUUUAGCACUGUAUGUUUGAGAAUUAUUUAAUAACCAGUUAUGCAACUGCUUAAUGUUUUUGUUUUAUCAUGUUGCAGAGCUAGUGUGUCUGAAUUAAGAACUUAUUAUCUUGGUAUUUAAUGUUUACUAUUUACCCUUAUAUAAACAUCAUCCACUCUUCAGCUAAGAAACACCAAGUUGAACUAUUUAUGUGUGUAUGAGCUGAAAAUUAUAUUGCAUGAGACUCUUAUCUCAUUUUGUUCUUAACUAUCAAAUCAAAAUAUGCAAAUCAAUAUAAUGAUUCGUUAUAUUGUUUUGCAUAGAGAUGGCAACAAG